AAAAAAAAAAUCCCAUUUCUUCGCUGCCUCAUUCUUCAUAGAGCUAAAAUUUCAAUGAAUCCAUAAUAGCAGGCAGUACUAGCAAGCCAAAAAUAAGCAACAGUAAAGAAGGUUGGCUCAGAUCUAUUCUUUUGAUCAGAGGAAGGAGGACGCCACAAUGGCUGCAAAAACCUAAUUACAUGCAAGUGAGAAAGAACCCAUUUUCGAAUCCUUCUCAUCUCACACAUGAUUCAGGUUGCCCUGCCAAGACAUGGGCCGGCUUUUCCUAGAUGUCACAGAUAAAGAAAACAUCAUCAUCAUAGCCAAUUACUUGAACAAGAGAAGAUGCGUUGUUGCUUUAUAAGGCAUCCCCUUCUUUUCUACC
rnacentral:lncRNA from 1 species